rnacentral:rRNA from 1 species
UACGUAGGGCGCAAGCGUUGUCCGGAAUUAUUGGGCGUAAAGAGCUCGUAGGCGGUCUGUUGCGUCCGCUGUGAAAACUCGGGGCUUAACCCCGAGCCUGCAGUGGAUACGGGCAGACUAGAGGUAGGUAGGGGAGAAUGGAAUUCCCGGUGUAGCGGUGAAAUGCGCAGAUAUCGGGAGGAACACCGGUGGCGAAGGCGGUUCUCUGGGCCUUGCCUGACGCUGAGGAGCGAAAGCGUGGGGAGCGAACAGG